GACGUAGGGCGCGAGCGUUGUCCGUAUUUAUUGGGCGUAAAGAGCUCGUAGGCGGCUUGUCGCGUCGACCGUGAAAACUUGGGGCUCAACCCCAAGCCUGCGGUCGAUACGGGCAGGCUCGAGUUCGGUAGGGGAGACUGGAAUUCCUGGUGUAGCGGUGAAAUGCGCAGAUAUCAGGAGGAACACCGAUGGCGAAGGCAGGUCUCUGGGCCGAUACUGACGCUGAGGAGCGAAAGCGUGGGGAGCGAACAGG
rnacentral:rRNA from 1 species